UAGGGAAUUUUCCACAAUGGGGGCAACCCUGAUGGAGCAACGCCGCGUGCAGGAUGAAUGUCUUCGGAUUGUAAACUGCUUUUAUCUGUGACGAAUAUGACGGUAGCAGAUGAAUAAGGACCUGCUAACUACGUGCCAGCAGCCGCGGUCAUACGUAGGGUCCAAGCGUUAUCCGGAAUUACUGGGCGUAAAGAGUUGCGUAGGUGGCAAGUUAAGCGAAUAGUGAAAUGAUACGGCUCAACCGUAUGUCCAUUAUUUGAACUGGCUCGCUAGAGAAUAUAAGAGGUAGCUGGAAUUCCCUGUGUAGGAGUGAAAUCCGUAGAUAUAGGGAGGAACACCGAUGGCGUAGGCAGGCUACUGGUAUAUUUCUGACACUAAGGCACGAAAGCGUGGGGAGCAAACGGGAUUAGAUACCCCCGUAGUCC
rnacentral:rRNA from 1 species